GCAGUGUUAUCCGGGAAUGCUGUCAGGGAGAGAAUCAUUGGGGCAUCUUGGUUGAAGAGCAAAAGAUUGUGAAGAAGACUAUGUUCUCUCCUUUUCUCAUACGGAGGUCUCAUAUCAUCUAUGGUGCAAGCUCACUGCAGUCUAGAUGACAUACCAUUGGCCUAGAAUCAAUUUCUGAUGAAGCAAGGUGCGUAUUUCUCUCCAACUUGUUUUAGGUUGCUUCUUGGAGAAAAAUGUGAAGUAUAUGCGGAGUACAUGUUACUUGGAAACGGUUUUCAGUCUUCUAAUGUAUCAGGGGAAGCAAGAAACUGCAACAAGGUUUUCAGUUUUUAAAUGUACACAUAUUGAGUUGGUGUGGGCCCA